UUGACCUCGGAUCAGGUGGGACUACCCGCUGAACUUAA
rnacentral:rRNA from 1 species